UACGUAGGGUGCGAGCGUUUGUCCGGAAUUAUUGGGCGUAAAGAGCUCGUUAGGCGGUUUGUCGCGUCGGCCGUGAAAACUUGGGGCUUAACCCCAAGCCUGCGGUCGAUACGGGCAGACUUGAGUUCGGCAGGGGAGACUGGAAUUCCUGGUGUAGCGGUGAAAUGCGCAGAUAUCAGGAGGAACACCGGUGGCGAAGGCGGGUCUCUGGGCCGAUACUGACGCUGAGGAGCGAAAGCGUGGGGAGCGAACAGG
rnacentral:rRNA from 1 species